GUGGGGAAUAUUGCACAAUGGGGGAAACCCUGAUGCAGCAACGCCGCGUGGAGGAUGACGCAUUUCGGUGUGUAAACUCCUUUUAUAAGGGAAGAUAAUGACGGUACCUUAUGAAUAAGCACCGGCUAACUCCGUGCCAGCAGCCGCGGUAAUACGGAGGGUGCAAGCGUUACUCGGAAUCACUGGGCGUAAAGGAUGCGUAGGCUGUAAUAUAAGUCAGAAGUGAAAUCCAACGGCUUAACCGUUGAACUGCUUUUGAAACUGUUUUACUAGAAUAUGGGAGAGGUAGAUGGAAUUGGUGGUGUAGGGGUAAAAUCCGUAGAUAUCACCAGGAAUACCGAUUGCGAAGGCGAUCUACUGGAACAUUAUUGACGCUGAGGCAUGAAAGCGUGGGGAGCAAACAGGAUUAGAUACCCGUGUAGUCC
rnacentral:rRNA from 1 species